rnacentral:lncRNA from 1 species
UCCUGCCUAGUCCUAAAGCCAGGAUCUCUGUCUGCACUCUGGGUUCCCUUUCCUGCUUCCUUUGGGACCUUGAUCUCAUAAUUUUCCAUUUAUUUUUUAUCGCCCCGUUUUUUGUUUUGGAUCUACAGGUUCUAUCCCUGUUAACCAUCAAACAGAAACAGUCUAUAUUUCCAAAUACGAUUACUCAACACUAUUCAUCUUUUUGCCUACCAUCCUCCCUCUCUUUUCUUUCCAAACCUAGCUCACCAAAAGUGGUCUCUGUAGCAGCAACCUGCAUCCCUUCACUUUCUGCAUCUCAUGCAGACCUUCUGAUUCUGUCACUUUUCUAGACUUAUUUUGAAGCUGCAAGUUGGCCUUCUUCUAAAUCAUCAGUGUCUAAACUGCACAGAGAAACCUUUUCUAAGACCGAUCCUGGGGAAGGAAUAACUAGUCUCUCUAGGCAAGGAAUAUAUCCCUAGAGUUAAUGGGAUGCAGUUGGAAAUUCUCUUUUAUAGCGGGAAUAAAAAUGUGAGUCAUGGGGCUAGGGUUGUGGCUCAGUGUAGAGCACUUUCCUAGCAUAAGUGAGGCACUGGGUUCGAUCCCCGGCACCACAUAAAAAAAUAAACAAAUAAAGGUAUUGUGUCCAUCUACAACUAAAAAAAAAUGUGAGUCAUAUGUAAUUUGGAAAUGCUAGAUUAGCUAAAAUUAUAACAAGUUUUUUACUUGAGUACCAUGCAGAGAUUUUUUUUAAAUAGGCAAUUAAGUGUUAUAAAUCCCAUGGUU